rnacentral:rRNA from 1 species
UCGAGAAUCUUUCACAAUGGGGGCAACCCUGAUGGAGCGACGCCGCGUGGAGGAUAAGGUCUUCGGAUUGUAAACUCCUGUCAUGCGUGAACAAGAGGACUGGGUGAAUAGCCUGAGUUCGUUGAUGGUAACGCAAGAGGAAGAGACGGCUAACUCUGUGCCAGCAGCCGCGGUAAUACAGAGGUCUCAAGCGUUGUUCGGAAUCACUGGGCGUAAAGGGUGCGUAGGUGGCGUGGUAAGUCAGAUGUGAAAGCCCGGGGCUCAACCUCGGAACUGCAUCCGAUACUGCCAUGCUUGAGUACUGGAGAGGUGACUAGAAUUCUAGGUGUAGCAGUGAAAUGCGUAGAUAUCUAGAGGAAUACCAAAGGCGUAGGCAGGUCACUGGACAGUUACUGACACU